AUUGAACGCUGGCGGCAGGCCUAGCACAUGCAAGCCGAACGGUAGCACAGAGAGCUUGCUCUCGGGCGACGAGUGGCGGACGGGUGAGUAACGUCUGGGAAACUGCCCGAUGGAGGGGGAUAACUACUGGAAACGGUAGCUAAUACCGCAUAACGUCGCAAGACCAAAGUGGGGGACCUUCGGGCCUCACACCAUCGGAUGUGCCCAGAUGGGAUUAGCUAGUAGGUGGGGUAAUGGCUCACCUAGGCGACGAUCCCUAGCUGGUCUGAGAGGAUGACCAGCCACACGGGAACUGAGACACGGUCCAGACUCCUACGGGAGGCAGCAGUGGGGAAUAUUGCAUAAUGGGCGCAAGCCUGAUGCAGCCAUGCCGCGUGUAUGAAGAAGGCCUUCGGGUUGUAAAGUACUUUCAGCGGGGAGGAAGGCGGUGAAGUUAAUAGCUUCACCGAUUGACGUUACCCGCAGAAGAAGCACCGGCUAACUCCGUGCCAGCCGCCGCCGUAA
rnacentral:rRNA from 1 species